ACUGCCCGUGAUAAGCGGGAGGAAGGUGUGGAUGACGUCAAGUCCUCAUGGCCCUUACGGGUAGGGCUACACACGUGCUACAAUGGCAUCUACAAUGGGUUAAUCCCCAAAAGAUGUCUCAGUUCGGAUUGGGGUCUGCAACUCGACCCCAUGAAGUCGGAAUCGCUAGUAAUCGCGUAACAGCAUGACGCGGUGAAUACGUUCCCGGGCC
rnacentral:rRNA from 14 species